AAACAACCGUCUAUAGCAAUUAUAAAUAAUCAUAUUGUAGAUUAUCCUACCCCGAUAAAUAUCAGUUAUUUGUGGGGUUUUGGUUCGCUAGCAGGGCUUAUAUUGGUAGUGCAGGUUUUGACUGGUGUAUUUCUUGCAAUGCAUUAUACAGCACACGUAGAUUUGGCUUUUAUAAGUGUAGAACAUAUUAUACGAGAUGUUAAUAAUG
rnacentral:ribozyme from 1 species